AUACUUAACCUGGUAGGGGAGAUAACAUGAUCACGAAGGUAGUUUUCCCAAGGCAAGGCUUACCCAUUGCACUCCGGAUGUGCUGACCCCCGCGAUUUCCCCAAAUGUGGGAAACUUGACUGCGUAAUUUGUGGUAGUGGGGGACUGCGUUCGCGCUCUUCCCUG
rnacentral:snRNA from 1 species